rnacentral:rRNA from 1 species
UGGGGAAUUUUGGACAAUGGGCGAAAGCCUGAUCCAGCAAUGCCGCGUGUGUGAAGAAGGCCUUCGGGUUGUAAAGCACUUUUGUCCGGAAAGAAAUCCUUGGCUCUAAUACAGUCGGGGGAUGACGGUACCGGAAGAAUAAGCACCGGCUAACUACGUGCCAGCAGCCGCGGUAAUACGUAGGGUGCAAGCGUUAAUCGGAAUUACUGGGCGUAAAGCGUGCGCAGGCGGUUUGCUAAGACCGAUGUGAAAUCCCCGGGCUCAACCUGGGAACUGCAUUGGUGACUGGCAGGCUAGAGUAUGGCAGAGGGGGGUAGAAUUCCACGUGUAGCAGUGAAAUGCGUAGAGAUGUGGAGGAAUACCGAUGGCGAAGGCAGCCCCCUGGGCCAAUACUGACGCUCAUGCACGAAAGCGUGGGGAGCAAACAGGAUUAGAUACCCUGGUAGUCCACGCCCUAAACGAUGUCAACUAGUUGUUGGGGACUUCAUUUCCUUAGUAACGUAGCUAACGCGUGAAGUUGACCGCCUGGGGAGUACGGUCGCAAGAUUAAAACUCAAAGGAAUUGACGGGGU